GUUUGACCUCGAAUCAGGUAGGGAUACCCGCUGAACUUAAGCAUAUCAAUAAGCGGAGGAAAAGAAACCAACAGGGAUUGCCCUAGUAACGGCGAGUGAAGCGGCAACAGCUCAAAUUUGAAAUCUGGAUUCCUUUACUGGGUCCCGAGUUGUAAUUUGUAGAGGGUGCUUUGGUGUUGGCGGCGG
rnacentral:rRNA from 1 species